rnacentral:lncRNA from 1 species
GAUGAGAAAAAAGUGGUGGACGUGCCUCAACUUCAUUUGGGCUUGAUAUUUAUUUAGGUCAAGUCCUUACAAUAACCAAACAACGGCAGAAAUUCAAGAUUAAGACUUUGAAGCGCAAGCGCAACAGUCAAACCCCACUUUCUGAAAAGAAAAUCAUAUAAAGCUUAGCAGCACUCGGAGCAUUGGUUCUUUUGGAUAGGAAUGGAGAGGAAGGAUUAGGCUACAGUAUUAUUCUAGCUAUUUCAAACCCCACAAGAAAAACAAAAGAAAACUGAAAGUUAUAUAUAUAUAAGAAAAAGAAAAAGAGAAAGAAAACAAGAUUGGACCAUCUAACUUGGGCGUUCAAAACUUCAUUGAUUAAGAAAAGGCGAUGCAUGGAAUUUACAAGACAGCAGCCCAACAGAUAAGUCACAUGACCGCAGCUUAGCCAGAAACCUAAAAGCCCAUAAGUGAGCAUGUAUAUGUGGUUAGGCCCUGCGCAUAUAUAGCCUAGCCAAUCCUUUGACUCAAGUCCAAUGACUUAAG